CUACUUGGCCAUGCUGGACUGAAGGGACCUCAUUUUAUCUGAUCUUAGAAGCUAUGCAAGCCUAGGUCUAGCUAGUAGUUGAAUGGGAGGCCAUCUUGGAUAGCUAUAGGUACAAACUAAG
rnacentral:rRNA from 1 species